rnacentral:tRNA from 1 species
CCUGGUGGCUCAGAGGUUAAAGCAUCUGCCUGCAAUGCAGGAGACCUAAGUUCGAUCCCUGGGUCAGGA